rnacentral:tRNA from 1 species
AGCCCCGAGGUGUUUUACACGUUAGAUUGCAAACCUUAAAUAGUAGACUGAACGUCUGCCGGGGCUU